AGAGUUUGAUCCUGGCUCAGGAUGAACGCUGGCGGCGUGCCUAUACAUGCAAGUCGAGCGAACCACUUCGGUGGGAAGCGGCGAACGGGUGAGUAACACGUAGGUGAUCUGCCCAUCAGACGGGGACAACGAUUGGAAACGAUCGCUAAUACCGGAUAGGACGAAAGUUUAAAGAUGCUUCUGGCAUCACUGAUGGAUGAGCCUGCGGCGCAUUAGCUAGUUGGUGGGGUAAAGGCCUACCAAGGCGACGAUGCGUAGCCGACCUGAGAGGGUGAACGGCCACACUGGGACUGAGACACGGCCCAGACUCCUACGGGAGGCAGCAGUGGGGAAUAUUGCACAAUGGGGGAAACCCUGAUGCAGCAACGCCGCGUGAGUGAUGACGGCCUUCGGGUUGUAAAGCUCUGUCUUCAGGGACGAUAAUGACGGUACCUGAGGAGGAAGCCACGGCUAACUACGUG
rnacentral:rRNA from 1 species